UACAGAGGUGCCGAGCGUUAGGCGGAAUCACUGGGCUUAAAGCGUGUGUAGGCGGAUGCCUAAGUAUCUUGUGAAAUCCCCCGGCUUAACCGGGGAACUGCUUGGUAUACUGGGUGUCUUGAGCCACUUAGGGGCGACCGGAACAAACGGUGGAGCGGUGAAAUGCGUAGAUAUCGUUUGGAACGCCAAUGGUGAAAACAGGUCGCUGGGAGUGUGCUGACGCUGAGACACGAAAGCCAGGGGAGCGAACGGG
rnacentral:rRNA from 1 species